UACGUAGGGAGCAAGCGUUGUCCGGAAUCAUUGGGCGUAAAGCGCGUGUAGGCGGCUUGGUAAGUCUGCUGUGAAAGCCCGGGGCUCAACCCCGGGAGGCGGGUGGAUACUGCUGAGCUCGAGUCCGGAAGAGGCGAGUGGAAUUCCUGGUGUAGCGGUGAAAUGCGCAGAUAUCAGGAGGAACACCGAUGGCGAAGGCAGCUCGCUGGGACGGUACUGACGCUGAGACGCGAAAGCGUGGGGAGCAAACAGG
rnacentral:rRNA from 1 species